UACAGAGGUGGCGAGCGUUAUUCGGAAUUAUUGGGCGUAAAGGGCGCGUAGGCGGCUUGACAAGUCCCGGGUGAAAUCCCUCGGCUCAACCGAGGAACUGCCUUGGAAACUGUCUGGCUUGAGGCCGGGAGAGGGUAGUGGAAUUCCUAGUGUAGCGGUGAAAUGCAUAGAUAUUAGGAGGAACCCCAGUGGCGAAGGCGAGUCUCUGGCACGCAUCUGACGCUGAGACACGAAAGCCAGGGGAGCGAACGGG
rnacentral:rRNA from 1 species